AGAAGAGAACCGAGUAGAGCUCGGGUGGUUAGCCGCGCAUGCGCACGUGCAACCCGCGCAAGUUCGAUCCCUGUGAUUGUAACUCGCGCAUCUCAUCCGGCGAUUUUUCCCUCACACGCGUGCGUACCCCAAAAUCCUAAGCUUGUGGUAGGGACGCGCACGCGUGUGUACAUGCGUUGUGGUAUGUGUUCAUGUGUGUCCCGAGGUGUUUAGUUGGAGAAAAGAAAAUUUUUAGGUGUGACGUUAGAUAUUUGACCGGAUGUCAGAAGGUGUUUUCGGACACGAAUGAAAAAACAAAUUUCAUGACUAGCCUAGAAACCGCGAGAUGAAUCUUUUGAG
rnacentral:lncRNA from 1 species